rnacentral:rRNA from 1 species
CCUACGGGAGGCUGCAGUGGGGAAUAUUGGACAAUGGGCGAAAGCCUGAUCCAGCCAUGCCGCGUGUGUGAAGAAGGCCUUCGGGUUGUAAAGCACUUUCAGUGGGGAAGAAAGCCUUGGGGCUAAUACCCUCGAGGAAGGACAUCACCCACAGAAGAAGCACCGGCUAACUCCGUGCCAGCAGCCGCGGUAAUACGGAGGGUGCGAGCGUUAAUCGGAAUUACUGGGCGUAAAGCGCGCGUAGGCGGUCUGAUAAGCCGGUUGUGAAAGCCCCGGGCUCAACCUGGGAACGGCAUCCGGAACUGUCAGGCUAGAGUGCAGGAGAGGAAGGUAGAAUUCCCGGUGUAGCGGUGAAAUGCGUAGAGAUCGGGAGGAAUACCAGUGGCGAGGGCGGCCUUCUGGACUGACACUGACGCUGAGGUGCGAAGGCGUGGGUAGCAAACAGGAUUGGAUCCCUUGUAGUC